GACGAACGCUGGCGGCGUGCCUAAUACAUGCAAGUCGUGCGGACCUUUUAAAAGCUUGCUUUUAAAAGGUUAGCGGCGGACGGGUGAGUAACACGUGGGCAACCUGCCUGUAAGACUGGGAUAACCCCGGGAAACCGGGGUUAAUACCAGAUCGUUUUUUCCUCCGCAUGGAGGAAAAAGGAAAGGCGGCUUCGGCUGCCACUUACAGAUGGGCCCGCGGCGCAUUAGCUAGUUGGCGGGGUAACGGCCCACCAAGGCAACGAUGCGUAGCCGACCUGAGAGGGUGAUCGGCCACAUUGGGACUGAGACACGGCCCAAACUCCUACGGGAGGCAGCAGUAGGGAAUCUUCCGCAAUGGACGAAAGUCUGACGGAGCAACGCCGCGUGAGUGAAGAAGGCCUUCGGGUCGUAAAACUCUGUUGCCGGGGAAGAACAAGUGCCGUUCGAACAGGGCGGCGCCUUGACGGUACCCGGCCAGAAAGCCACGGCUAACUACGUG
rnacentral:rRNA from 1 species